CCUACGGGUGGCAGCAGUGAGGAAUAUUGGUCAAUGGACGCGAGCCUGAACCAGCCAUGUAGCGUGCAGGAUGACUGCCCUACGGGUUGUAAACUUCUUUUAUAAAAGGAUAAAGUGAGGCACGUGUGCCUUUUUGUAUGUACUUUAUGAAUAAGGAUCGGCUAACUCCGUGCCAGCAGCCGCGGUAAUACGGAGGAUCCGAGCGUUAUCCGGAUUUAUUGGGUUUAAAGGGAGCGUAGAUGGGUUGUUAAGUCAGUGGUGAAAGGUUGCGGCUCAACCGUAAAAUUGCAAUUGAUACUGGUAGACUUGAGUACAGUUGAGGUAGGCGGAAUGUGUGGUGUAGCGGUGAAAUGCUUAGAGAUCAUGAAGAACUCCGAUUGCGAAGGCAGCUUACCAAACUGCCACUGACAUUGAGGCUCGAAAGUGUGGGUAUCAAACAGGAUUAGAUACCCCAGUAGUC
rnacentral:rRNA from 1 species